rnacentral:rRNA from 1 species
CAGUCGCCGCGGGAAUACGGAGGGAGCUAGCGUUGUUCGGAAUUACUGGGCGUAAAGCGCACGUAGGCGGCUCUGUAAGUCAGAGGUGAAAGCCUGGAGCUCAACUCCAGAACUGCCUUUGAGACUGCAUCGCUUGAAUCCAGGAGAGGUGAGUGGAAUUCCGAGUGUAGAGGUGAAAUUCGUAGAUAUUCGGAAGAACACCAGUGGCGAAGGCGGCUCACUGGACUGGUAUUGACGCUGAGGUGCGAAAGCGUGGGGAGCAAACAGGAUUAGAUACCCCCGUAGUCCCUGUCUCUUAUAA